UGGGGAAUCUUAGACAAUGGGCGCAAGCCUGAUCUAGCCAUGCCGCGUGAAUGAUGAAGGUCUUAGGAUUGUAAAAUUCUUUCACCGGGGACGAUAAUGACGGUACCCGGAGAAGAAGCCCCGGCUAACUUCGUGCCAGCAGCCGCGGUAAUACGAAGGGGGCUAGCGUUGCUCGGAAUUACUGGGCGUAAAGAGCGCGUAGGCGGACAUUUAAGUCAGGGGUGAAAUCCCAGAGCUCAACUCUGGAACUGCCUUUGAUACUGGGUGUCUUGAGUGUGAGAGAGGGUAUGUGGAACUCCGAGUGUAGAGGUGAAAUUCGUAGAUAUUCGGAAGAACACCAGUGGCGAAGGCGACAUACUGGCUCAUUACUGACGCUGAGGCGCGAAGCGUGGGGAGCAAACA
rnacentral:rRNA from 1 species